rnacentral:lncRNA from 1 species
CUAUUUAAUAUUGAGCCUUUAGGUCGAUAUCGCGUUUCAGUUUAUAAGAAAAUACCAUAAAAUUAUUUUGUAGUAAUUCAAAUCACACAAUUAUUAAUAAUAAUAAAUGCUAUACAAAUGAAUUCAAUAUAAAACUCAAAUACAAUACCUAUCCCUCUAGAUAAAAUAAAACUUAAAGCAACAAGGGCGAGGGAACUCUAUAAAAAUAACAGGAAUCACAAGUAAAUCUACUAGUCGUCUGCAUCUUCUAACUGAAUCUUCGAACCUGUGUCACUGAAAGGGUGGAAGAUUUUUGGGCUGAGAACAAACCACACGUUCUCAGUAGGGAAUGGGAAUGCCGUAAAAGUAAUGAAUUUAAUGCAAAUAAUUAACUUAGUAAAACUAUUUUGUUAACCCUUUGGAAAUACUUUUAUUUCUACUUUAGAUAAAUAAUUACUUUUCUUUAAAUUUCUAAACUCAAAACAAAUUUUAAACAUAAAACUAGUCACAUUUUCUGUCUCUCAGCCACAUAGUUAAUCCUCAGUCAAAUGUCAACUCGUAAUCACUUUAAUCCACUCACAAACAAAUAGUGCAAGCAAGAGAUUCAAUUCAAUGUACAAGCAAGUCACAACAAGACAAACAAUACAAUCACAAAGUAAUAAAACAAGCAAGCGCAAUCAAAUGUAGUAUGCACAAACAACAUGAUCCAUGUCUAUCCCUAACGCAGGCCAUGAACUCAUGUGUCGGUUGCCUACCCGCUCCCGACAUUACCCGGGCACAAGUCCCAGAUAUGGUUUUCCAGAUGCAUCAGUGGGCUUAUAAGUCGUACAGCCAGGCCGCAUCAGUGUGACUUUAAGUCGUACGGCUAGGCCGCAUCAGUGUGACUUUCCAAAUCAAUAAGCGUACAUCUGGAAAACAGUUCUCAGUGUGUGGGCGUCCCCACUUUACAUUUGGUACUAAGGCCCAAACAAUGUCACAUCUGCUCUCCUGUGGCAGACACUUCAUUAAUUAAUAUAUUCUUUAAAUCCUUACUCUCUGCUCUCCUGUGGCAGAAAUUCCUUUUCUUAAUAAACCGAGCUCAAAUCUUUACUUAAAACAAAAUCUCUCCUUAAAAGAUUGGGUUUAAAACAUUAUAUUUUCCAUAAUAAAUCAAACUUUAAAAUAGAGUAAAUCUUUUCUUAACUAAAUAUAUUUUAAAUAAUUUAAUUUUCCAAAACCAAAUCUUUUAAAAUAACUUUUCAAAUAAAACCUCAGAUUUUUAUAAAAUCUCGGCAGCACUUCCCCUAAAACUCGGGGUUAGCCAUCCUUUUUCGGGUUCCAACUGAACCAUUUUCAACCUCUUUUCAAUCGAGAAAUCAAAUACAUAUUCAUCAUUCAGUCAUUUCAAAUAAUCAUAAAUUAUUUACAAAUACCCACUAGACUUCCAUGGCAUUCAUAGUUUAAAAACAGUUAAUUUCAAAACAAAAUCCCCUACCUCCGUAUGAAAUCAAAAUCAACGAAAGUUCCGGAAGACUUUCUGACCGAGCUGCUGAAGAGGAAAGCGUCAGAAAUUAUCUGUGCCUCCUAGAACUCCAGUUGACCGAACUCAAGGGGCAGGAGAGCUACGUCACCGUCGACUUCCACCGAUCAAAAGUAACGCCAAUACGUAGAAGAGGAGAAUACGAACACUUUUAUCGGAUUAGAUUUUUUAUUGGAGUUACGAAUCGCAAGAAAUCGAAACCAAAAGUUUUACGGUGCUAUGGUUCCUCUCGUUCUCUCUCACGGUUUUCUUUCUCUCUCCGUGUUUUCUUUCCUUUUCUUUCUUAAAGCUGAAAGGGAGAAAUGAGAUGCUGAAGAUGAUGAUUAAUGAAAAUUAGGAAGCUUAGGUGUCGUUAGAUUAUACAUAUAUAAACAAAUAUGUGUCAUGAAAGGAAUAUCAUUGGUUUUAUAAUAUAGAUGCAUGCAUGCAUAAGCCAUGUGUUGGCUUUUCU